AAUGUAGCAGCAUAAAUGGUACGCUGCCACUUUAAGAUCAAUUUCAGCUGCUGCAUAUAAGCAGGUCUCUACCUGCCACAAGACUACUUGCGUCAUGACGUCAACUCAUUUUGCUUAGUUUGCUGAGCUGUGCUGGGUAAGCGUGGCUGUUUCUUUGUUUGUCAGCUUUUAUCAUAGCCAUUAAUGCAAGCUGGUUUGAUUUGUUUAGCCUCCCUUGCUGUGCCUCCAACUCCUGGACCAAUUUGUUCGGUUGUUUGCUGCCGGGAAGGUAAGCGCUAGCAUGGCUAGGUAACAUCCGUCUCAUGUAAACGAAGCCUUUAUGUAGUGUUUUGUUACAGCUGCGCUCCAUAGGUGACCUUGUGGAUCUGUUUAUCUGGCCGUGUGGUAAUUUACAGCCUCCUGCUGAGUCCCUGACAACUAUUCUAUUUGGAUGUACACUCGCUGCUGUUUUGCCUACGAUGAAUUGUUUUAAAAGAUUUGUAUGAACUUUCCCCCGCUGCCGGGAGCAUCGAUGGCACUACGAACGGGAUAAAAAGCAAUAUUGUAGUGCUAUUGUAUCACUGUUUUACUCGUAUUGUUUCAUUUUUUUGUCUUUCUUUUAGGGACUGAGGCUUCUGUGGUGGCGGUGGUGACCCCUGGUGGCGGUGUCUUGUCUCGUGUGUUUUGUGGAACACCCCUUUUUUGUGUGUGUGUGUUUACCGUGUCUCUGUAGUGUCCAGGGUGAUCCCUUUUCUUCACUAGAUGUUGCCCCUUUCCUCACUACUCUCCCCCCACUGGUAAGCCUCAGUUUCCUUUGAAAUUUAAACAUUUUAUCAACUUUAUUAAAAAGGCAUUCACUGUUUUAACCAUUCGACUUCAGGUUAUUGUUAAUUUAAACAACCUAUUAAAGUUUAAUAAAUUUUUUGUAGAAUUGUCUGAA